rnacentral:rRNA from 1 species
UAUAGAGGGGGCAAGCGUUGUUCGGAAUUACUGGGCGUAAAGGGCGCGUAGGCGGCCUUCUAAGUCGAACGUGAAAUCCCCGGGCUCAACCCGGGAACUGCGUCCGAGACUGAAAGGCUCGAAUCCGGGAGAGGGAUGUGGAAUUCCAGGUGUAGCGGUGAAAUGCGUAGAUAUCUGGAGGAACAUCGGUGGCGAAGGCGGCAUCCUGGACCGGUAUUGACGCUGAGGCGCGAAAGCCAGGGGAGCAAACGGG